CACGAGCGCACCCUCGCCUUUAGUUGCCAGCAUGUUUGGGUGGGCACUCUAAAGGAACUGCCGGUGACAAGCCGGAGGAAGGUGGGGAUGACGUCAAGUCCUCAUGGCCCUUAUGUCCUGGGCUACACACGUGCUACAAUGGCGGUGACAGUGGGACGCCAGGCAGCGAUGCCGAGCUGAUCUCCAAAAGCCGUCUCAGUUCGGAUUGCACUCUGCAACUCGGGUGCAUGAAGGUGGAAUCGCUAGUAAUCGUGGAUCAGCAUGCCACGGUGAAUACGUUCCCGGGCCUUGUACACACCGCCCGU
rnacentral:rRNA from 1 species